rnacentral:piRNA from 1 species
ACACACGAGUCGAUGGGGGUUA